AAAAAAAAUCUCUGAUGUGAUGUCUGUGGAUUGUGAUUUAGAUUUCGCUUAGUUUUUGCAUCAGUCUAUGCAUCUUUAUAACAUGUAAAACCGUGGUUUGCUAUUUAUUAGCAGGCUAAAUUGCCCUCUAUUGCUUCCACAAUUUAGGGGAGUUCCAAAAAUAAAAAUCCACUGCAUGUACUGAUGAAAUAUAAUAAUUUCCAACUUUGGUAACUUGGUCAUAAGAAACUAUUUUUUUGCAGUUAUUUGAUGGACACAACGGGU
rnacentral:misc_RNA from 1 species